rnacentral:rRNA from 1 species
UCUUCUCUCUACACGAAAGCACAGACAUUUUGAAAUUAUUUGGACACCAAUUGGAGCCACCACGCUGUGAUUGACAGCCCAUUGCCGCUGUGUAUGAAAGAAGCCCUUUCCGGGUUGUAAGCGAUACUUUUCAAGCGAGGGAGGAAGGGCUGUUAACGUUAUAUAACUUUCAGCUGAUUGAACGUUAUCUCGCGAGAAAGAAGGCACGGGCCUAAUCUCCGGUGCCAGCCAGGCCGGGGGUAAUUACGAGAGGGUGCAAGCCGUUAAUUCGAAAAUUACUGGGGCGUAAAGCGCAGCGCGGCGCGGUGUGUUAAGUCAGGAUGUGAAAUCCCCGGGCUCACCUUGGAAAUUGCAUUUGAAAUGGCCAGGCUGGAUUCUGGUAGAGGGGGGUAGAUUUCCAGGGGUAGCGGUGAAAUGGGUAGAGUUCGGGAGGAAUACGGGUGGGGAAGGCGGCCCCCUGAACAAAGACUGACGUUCAGGUGCGAAAGCGUGGGGAGCAAACAGAAUUAGAUACCUUGUUAUUCCACGCGGUAAACGAUGUCGACUUGGAGGUUGUUCCCUUGAGGAGUGGCUUCCGAAGUUAACGCGUUAAUUCGACCCCUUGGGGAGUACGGCCGCAAGGUUAAAAUUCAAUUGAAUUGACGGGGGCCCGCCCAAGCGGUGGACCAUGUGGUUUAUUUGGAUGCAACGGGAAGACCCUUACUUACUCUUGACAUCCAGAGAACUUAGCAGAGAUGCUUUGGUCCCUUCGGGAACUCUGAGCCAGGUGCUCCAUGGCGGUCUUCAGCUCGUGUUGUGAAAUGUUGGGUUAAUUCCCGCAACGAGCCCAACCCUUUUCCUUUGUUGCCACCGGUUCGGUCGGGAACUCAAAGGAGACUGCCAGUGAUAAACCGGAGGAAGGUGGGGAUGACGUCAAGUCAUCAUGGCCCUUACGAGUAGGGCUACACACGUGCUACAAUGGCAUAUACAAAGAGAAGCGACCUCGCGAGAGCAAGCGGACCUCAUAAAGUAUGUCGUAGUCCGGAUUGGAGUCUGCAACUCGACUCCAUGAAGUCGGAAUCGCUAGUAAUCGUAGAUCAGAAUGCUACGGUGAAUACGUUCCCGGGCCUUGUACACACCGCCCGUCACACCAUGGGAGUGGGUUGCACAAAGAAGUAGGUAGCUUAACCUUCGGGAGGGCGCUACCACUUGAUAGU